rnacentral:rRNA from 1 species
GGAAUCUUGGACAAUGGGGGCAACCCUGAUCCAGCCAUGCCGCGUGAGCGAUGAAGGCCUUAGGGUUGUAAAGCUCUUUCAGCGGGGAAGAUAAUGACGGUACCCGCAGAAGAAGCCCCGGCUACCUCCGUGCAAGCAGCCGCGGUAAUACGGAGGGGGCUAGCGUUGUUCGGAAUUACUGGGCGGAAAGCGCACGUAGGCGGACCUGCAAGUUGGGGGUGAAAUCCCGGGGCUCAACCCCGGAACUGCCUCCAAAACUGCCGGUCUGGAGGUCGAGAGAGGUGAGUGGAAUUCCGAGUGUAGAGGUGAAAUUCGUAGAUAUUCGGAGGAACACCAGUGGCGAAGGCGGCUCACUGGCUCGAUACUGACGCUGAGGUGCGAAAGCGUGGGGAGCAAAC